GGAAGAUGGAGGGGAAGAGGGAGUCGGGAUCAGCGAAGGGGGGCUGCGAUGAACGAGUGAGGGAGGAGAAUGGAAUGUGCAAUUGUGAAGGAGGAAGAGGAGGAGAAAGAGAGUUGUUACCAUCGGUCACUGAUGGAGGAAGACGCAACAACCAUCCUUCAUUAAGAAAAAUGUCGUUGCUAGAGGAAACACCGAAGACACUGUCGUCAUUCGUCAAGGAAACACCAUUGUUGUUGGGAGAAAGAGAGCCUGUUUUGUCAUUGCUGCAUUUACGGCACGGACACGUGGGAGGGUUGGGUUUGUGGGGUUGAGAGUGAGUCUAUAUGGUUCAAUUGAAUUAGAGAACCCAAUUGGUUGGACUCGAGCUUGACUCAGCCUAAGUUGAAUCAGGCAGGUGCUUGGCCCACCCAGCACUUGGGCCCAGGUGAGUGCCUAGGCCGCACUUGGUUGAACUUGCUUGCCCAGCCCACCUAUUGGAUGCUCGGGCCUCGCCCCACCUCGCUUGGGCACCUAGGCGAGCUCUCAGGCACUCCGUCACUUCACUUGUUUGGAUUCCUUUUGUGUAUAUGAACGGAAAAAAAUAUAUUGAUACUUCCAUCAUACAAAAGAAAUAGGGUAGUACAUUAAUAUUAGCUAUAGGAAAAAAAUGGCUUUAUAUAUUCCCAGUCAAUAGCUAAUAAAAUGGGACACAUUUAGGUGGCAAAGCAAAAUUUUGGUCACCAUAUUUUCUAAAAAGCAAAGAGGAAAACUAGAUUGAACUUGUUCUUCUACAUUAAUAGAUUCUUUGGAAUAGUUCUCUGUGAUUAUAUACAUGAAGAAAAUGAUCAUCUUUGAUUGCCAAAAUUUUACCGUUAGAGGUAGGAACUGCCUUGGAAAAUAAGAACGCUUUCUAGGGCGAGACCCGCCAUUUGUUAGAAGUAGGAACUGUCUUGGAAAAUAAGAAUGCUUUCUAGGGCGAGACCAGCCAUUUGUAUCUUUUGGGUGAAAAAAAUUGGUUCAAAAGGCUCCAUAGUAGAUAUAGGGUCAAAUGAUUCUUGAUACACUGCUUUAAGCAGAAGCUAACAUUUUCUACUUUCUUUAUAGAUGAAACUUAGUUGUUGUCCUUGUAUGGUAGUACCUAGCUUUGGUGGUUGAUGGGGCUUAAGAGGGCAAACCAAUUAUUUGUUUUCAUUUUAUUUUUCUUCUUUGUUAUUCUGUUUUUCAAAUUAGAUUAAAAAUUAAAUUUAAAAUUAAAUCUAUACGUUGAGUUGUCCAUCUGUUUAUUGUCAACCACCAGUUGGCAAUUGAUAAUAUUUGGUUAUUUUCUUUGAAGUAGCUUCAAAAUUUGGAAACUGAGGCUGAUUUGGGAAGUUCCAUAAUUUAUCCAAAUAUAAAUAGGAGAAGCAAGGAAGCAGAAUGCCCUGCUGCGAGUCUCUUCCCUACAUUGCCAACUGUGGAGUUGAAGUGCUUACAGGAAACUAGUAGUACAAUAUGUUGUUGCAUUGAUCAAAAACAGGAGCUAAAGAUACGCUGAGAUGAACAAAGUAAUCAUAUCCUCUUCUAGUUACAAAAGGAGUUCAAGUAUACAUACUUUCUAGAUCACCUGUUGAGGGAUGGUUUUUGUUUGUUUUUUUUUUUUUGUUAUACUGUUGAUGGUACAUUGAUGUAGAUAUUUCUCUCUUUUUUCCCUUCCAUGAAAUGUAUAGUUAAAAGGAAUACCGUCCUUGAUGUUUUGUUCAUGAUCUUUUACAUUCUACAGAAAAUGCUCCUAGCUUUUAGUUGCUUUAA